GGCGCUGUGGCUGAGAGGUAAAGCGCUUGGCUUCCGAACCGAGGGGGUUCCGGGUUCGAAUCCUGGUGAAGACU
rnacentral:tRNA from 1 species